rnacentral:rRNA from 1 species
AGCGGCGGACGGGUGAGUAACGCGUGGGUAACCUGCCCUGUACACACGGAUAACAUACCGAAAGGUAUGCUAAUACGGGAUAACAUAAGAAAGUCGCAUGGAUUUCUUAUCAAAGCUUUUGCGGUACAGGAUGGACCCGCGUCUGAUUAGCUAGUUGGUAAGGUAACGGCUUACCAAGGCGACGAUUAGUAGCCGACCUGAGAGGGUGAUCGGCCACAUUGGAACUGAGACACGGUCCAAACUCCUACGGGAGGCAGCAGUGGGGAAUAUUGCACAAUGGGCGAAAGCCUGAUGCAGCAACGCCGCGUGAGCGAUGAAGGCCUUCGGGUCGUAAAGCUCUGUCCUCAAGGAAGAUAAUGACGGUACUUGAGGAGGAAGCCCCGGCUAACUACGUGCCAGCAGCCGCGGUAAUACGUAGGGGGCUAGCGUUAUCCGGAAUUACUGGGCGUAAAGGGUGCGUAGGCGGUCUUUCAAGUCAGAAGUGAAAGGCUACGGCUCAACCGUAGUAAGCUUUUGAAACUGUAAGACUUGAGUGCAGGAGAGGAGAGUGGAAUUCCUAGUGUAGCGGUGAAAUGCGCUAGAUAUUAGGAGGAACACCAGUUGCGAAGGCGGCUCUCUGGACUGUAA